ensembl:snoRNA SNORA72 Small nucleolar RNA SNORA72
CUAGGACUAUGCUCGUGUUCUGAUUUUGUAAUAAUCAGGGCAGGCUAAACAUCCUCUCUAAUAAGACCAUGUAUGUGUCCCCAGACCUAGUUCUUUACCCAGGUCUGGUCUUAUAAAUGCUGGUGAUAAUU